UACAGAGGGGGCAAGCGUUGUUCGGAAUUACUGGGCGUAAAGGGCGCGUAGGCGGCCUGUUAAGUCGAACGUGAAAUCCCCGGGCUCAACCCGGGAACUGCGUCCGAGACUGGCAGGCUCGAAUCCGGGAGAGGGAUGUGGAAUUCCAGGUGUAGCGGUGAAAUGCGUAGAUAUCUGGAGGAAUACCGGUGGCGAAGGCGGCAUCCUGGACCGAGAUUGACACUGAGGAGCGAAAGCCAGGGGAGCAAACGGG
rnacentral:rRNA from 1 species